rnacentral:lncRNA from 1 species
AUAUAUAUAUAUAUAUAUAUAUAUAUAUAUAUAUAUAUAUAUAUAUAUAUAUAUAUAUAUCUGCAAAAUGGUGUUUAAAACCUACAGGAAUAAUUCUUUUGGAAACCAGUAUCUUACAACUGUACUGGUUUUUGACCAUUUUGCUAAUGGAAAAAUGCUGAUUAGGUUUUUAGCUAUUAUUUCUGAGUCUCUAUGGUGAGUAGUACUGCAGUUGUGAGCUCCAGGUUCAAAGGUUGGUCUGUGACUGUGGGUGAUGUUGGAUGCUGAGCUGUCUCCAGACCUGGAGUUACAACUUUCACCUCAUGAGACUCUAGAGUUUGAACCACCUUAGCUGGUUCUGGAGGCUGAGAUGGGGUCUUGGGCAUGGUUGGAAAAGAUCUAACUUUUGCACUAAUUCCUGGAGUGCUGAUAAGCUUCCAGUGCAAAGGUCAAACUGUGAGCAGACUGAGUUUUGAAUGCUGAGUCUGAAUCCAGUCUGGAGGUGGAAGUGUCACUUCGUAGUGCUUCGGAGGAAGAGCUGUAGCCUUCUUCAGGGCUGUAGAAAAUUCACUGCCAGUAGUACAUUCUGGAAUGAUAGUGGCUUCCAGGUCUGAAGGAUGAAAUGCGGCACUUGGCUGCUGAGCUUGACCUUGGGCUGGAGUUGGAAUUGUUGUCUCAGAAUGGGGUGGAGGGUGAGCUGCACUGUCAUUGGGUGGCUCACUUGGAAGUUGAGGGAGCAUCAUGGGCUGGGUUGGAGAAAGUUCCACCUCUUCAGGAGGAUCUGGAGGAGGAGAUGCAGCUGGUGGCAGUGCAGGAGAUGGUUCUUCCUCCUCUGCAGGCUGAGGUGAUGUCCUCUGCUGAGCUUGAGAAGGUUCCAUUUUGUUGGGUGGCUCUGAAAGUAGAGCUGCAUCCUCCUCCUAGGGGACUGAAAAUGGUUCUGUGUCCUCAGGUGGCUCUGAAGGCUGGGGAAAAUGCUACUCUUUCUGUCAACAAAAGAGAAAGAGUAACCUUCUCAGGGAGUACUGAAGACAGAGCUGCAAGCUUUUGCUGCACUGGUGAAACUGCUACACCAGAGGAGCCUGGGGGCAUAGGAAAUAAGGCCAGGACCAGAGCCUGCCAAUUCUGAUGCUUGGGACCCGGGCGUGUCCCUUCCUCAGGGUGUGUUAAAAGCAGGUACAGUUUAGCACACUGGUUUGGUAUGUGUGGUUUAACUUCACUUGCAGAAUGCACCAUGAGAGCACAAAGGAAAGCGUGUAUCUUGUGCUCACCCGAACCAGG